AAUGAACGCUGGCGGCAUGCCUAACACAUGCAAGUCGAACGAAAGCUUCGGCCUUAGUGGCGCACGGGUGCGUAACGCGUGGGAAUCUGCCCUUGGGUUCGGAAUAACAGUUAGAAAUGACUGCUAAUACCGGAUGAUGUCUUAAGACCAAAGAUUUAUCGCCCAAGGAUGAGCCCGCGUAGGAUUAGCUAGUUGGUGGGGUAAAGGCCUACCAAGGCGACGAUCCUUAGCUGGUCUGAGAGGAUGAUCAGCCACACUGGGACUGAGACACGGCCCAGACUCCUACGGGAGGCAGCAGUGGGGAAUAUUGGACAAUGGGCGAAAGCCUGAUCCAGCAAGGCCGCGUGAGUGAUGAAGGCCUGAGGGUUGUAAAGCUCUUUUACCCGGGAUGAUAAUGACAGUACCGGGAGAAUAAGCUCCGGCUAACUUCGUG
rnacentral:rRNA from 1 species